AUUGCACGCUGGCGGCAGGCCUAACACAUGCAAGUCGAGCGGAGCGGCGGACGGGCGAGUAAUGCAUAGGAAUCUGCCUGGUAGGGGUGGAUAACGUCCGGAAACGGGAGCUAAUACCGCAUACUAUUAGAUGAGCCUAGUUCGGAUUAGCUAGUUGGUGGGGUAAAGGCUUACGAAGGCGACGAUCCUUAACUGUUCUGAGAGGAUGAUCAGUCACACUGGAACUGAGACACGCUCCAGACGCCUACGGUAGGCAGCAGUGGGGAAUAUUGGACAAUGGGCGAAAGCCUGAUCCAGCCAUGCCGAGUGUGUGAAGAAGGUCUUCGGAUUGUAAAGCACUUUAAGUUGGGAGGCGUUACCAACAGAAUAAGCACCGGCUAACUUCGUGCCAGCAGCCGCGGUAAUAC
rnacentral:rRNA from 1 species